AAUAGUUUUUAAUACAAAACUUACUCAGAAAACAGAUCACAAAAUACCUUCACACAGACGAGAACUGACAAAAGAAGGAAACACAGGGCUUAAAUAUACAGAUAAUGAUGAACUGAAACAGAACAGAUGUGGGAUCUAACUCAUCAAAAACCAUGCAAACUGAUGAGGGAACUCGGGUAAAAGGGAACAGAGAGAAAACAACCAGAACAAAACAGUGCAUAUGCCUACAUGUGAUAUAGGUUUACCACACAACAAAUUAUGAACUCCAAAUGUAAACUAUACUAUCGUCCAGCUAAAUUGAUAAUACAGACAUUAACAUUGUGAAUUUCUGUAAGGCUGCUUUGAUUCAGUGUUUUGAGCAAUAGAAAUAAAAAUGAAUCUGGUGAAAAAUAUUACAUGAUUUUUAAAAGGAUUCAGAAUAAAGAUAUCUGAAUUUAAAAACAACAAAUUUAAAGAAACAUUUGAGGACACCCCUCUUCCGACAAUGAACUGCUCAUUAAAAGCACUAAGUAUCGGUGAAUUACACUAAGUAAUCAAAAUUAUCCAGGUACGUAAAUGCCAUGAGACCAGGUAGCAAUAGUCACAAUUUAGCUCAUUUAGUGGACUACUGUUGGAGCGUUCAGUCUCUGUGCUGCUUCUGGCUGCUGCAAAACAAACCUUUAGUCAAACUGAUGAACAUGCAAAACAUCAGAAAACAAGCCUUAUGAUAUUUACGCUUUCAGUGAAACAAUGAUAUAACAAUGACAUUCAAUGGCCACCUUUGUGCUCAACUUAUGCUUAAAACUGAGUAAAUGGCACUACUUUUGGUGAACACAAUCAUAACAAUUAUCACAAUGAUAUUUCUAAAUCGAAGAGACUACAAGUAUUGUGAUUUUACAAAAUAUAUCUAGGAAUUAAAAGUAUUUAAUUAUUAAGUGGGUUCUUUUGUCGAUACAUGCCAAUCGUAAACAAGUAGGUUACAAACAACUCUAAUGGUUUAAACUUUAAAGAAUAAGCGCUACAAUCAUUGCUUUAGUAGAAUUAUACUGGAUUCUGAUAUCUUUGAAAAUAACAUUUAGAAUUUUUUUUUUUACCUGUACUCUGCGCCAUUUUAUGUUCAUCUUGACAUUUAUAAAUCGAAAGUAAAAAGGUGCUUGCUUGAGUUGACAAUGAAACGAGCAGAUGUAAAUACUCACCAGCGUCCCACUGUUUAUAAAUGAAAUAUUACAAAUGAAAACAAUGUAAAAAUGUAAGUUAAAUGUGUGUGUGUGUGUGUGUGUGUGUGACACACAUUACAGCUACAUUUUACAUUACAGAAAUCAAGUAGUAUUUAGAAAUAUCUGACGCAAAUGAAUGACAUUCAAGUGUUCUUUGAGCUCCAACACAGUAAAAAUAGAAGACAUGUGCCUGAGUACUUUGAGCGAAUGAUUAUAACUUCAACUAAAGUAACAUUUUAUUCAUAUAAGAUCUUUAACAUUUAUCAGCAUUUUUAAGGGUCAACGUAGAAGUACAGAUGAAUUCCAUAAUAAUGUCUGUACAUGUAGGACAGAGAAAAUACUGUAUGCCCUCUCUGAUUAAGAUGAUGCUAUUAGGAAACCAUGCAACAGUAAAAAAAAAAAAAAAAACACCGUACAAGAGCAGGGGAUUUUCUAUAAUAUUUUUGACAGUUAAUAAGAUAUUUCAGAAAGUUAAGCAAAACAUAUUUGUCACAGAAAAUCUAUAUUCUAUUAUUUCUAUAAAAUAGCAAAUAAAUAACUAGCACCGAUUAUCUGCUUCAAUUAAACCGCUGUUAAAAUGCUUGAAAGCUAGAAAAUAGGCAUUACUUGGUGAUAAUUGAGUUAUGUUUAUUACCUAGAGUCUAAAUGGCUUGGUUUGCAAAUUUAGAUCACACUUUAAGUAAACAGUUUUAUUUUAUCAGCAGGAAAAGCAAUCUAUGCUCAUGAUGUAUGAUUUUAUGAAACAAUCAAUGUUUAACAGAAAGUGUUAAAUGUGAUAACUGGAGUGUUCCCUUUCGAACGUUCACUUCACGUUGUGUAUGAGGAACGAAUCCAAUCAUGCUGUGCUAAGAGCAAAAGCAGACUUUGCACUGCGAGCCCAGUUCUGGAGCACUUAACUUAAGGGCCUCUAGAGAACAUGAGCCAACUGAGUUCCGAGCAUAGCUGAGGACUUUUGGACACCGCUAUUUCCACCGUAGGGAGAAACAGCAGUUUAAGCCGAUAAAAUCCAUGCCUGGAGAGCAGGGACAUCUAGGCUGUAAAAUCUGGCAAACGUGGAUGGUGACGAUAAGCCAGCGGCCGCACAUAUCUCACCAAUAGAGAUUCCGCUGGACCAAGCCCAGGAGGAGGCCAUUCCUCUAGUGGAGUGGGCCUUCACACCUAUGGGGCAUUGUAAACCUUCUGAGGCAUAAGCCAAGGCUAUAGCGUCAAUUAUCCAGCGGGACAGUCUUUGCUUGGUAACCAGCAGCCCCUUAGAGCGGCCUCCAAAGCAAACGAAAAGCUGCUCCGACUGUCUGAACAGGCUGGAGCGUUCAAGAUAUAUUCUCAGGGCCCUGACAUGGCAGAGAACAUUAAGACCCUGUUCACCAUCUGCAGCGGGGAGCGCCAGAAGGGUAAUAACCUGGGCUCUGAACGGAGUAGAUACCUCUAAAAUGGUAUCAUUCACUCUCGCUGGGAGUUGCGUAGGCUCCCGUCGAGGCUCCAUACAUGAAGGUUCCACAGCUCUGGCCGGGGAUGCCAAAUCAUGCCUUUCACCUGCGAGAGAAGAUCCGGCCCAAGGCAAGAACUGACCCAUUCCUCUUCCUUUCUGAUGGGUCAGGACGGCUUCUGGGCUCAGGGUCCAGCACUAGUUGAGGGCAUGGGCCUUGGCGCUUUGGAUAUGGAAAACGCUUUGCCACCUGGGGGCGCUGCUGAAGCCCAGCCUCCGACUUCUGAGGCGACGUGGAUGGGGCUUUCUGGUGACUAGCAGCCGCAGCACCAGAGCGCUUGGAGGAAGUGACGCAGCGCUUGCGACGUCUUCUGAGCCUCUGAGAAGCGCUGUGCAAACCCGUCCAUAGUGGGGUCAAAGAGGCCCUUCAGCAAGACCGGAGAAUCAAGGAAGGCCCUUUUCUCAGCGUCCCUUAUUUCAGUGAAGUUCAGCCAAAGGUGGCACUCCAACAACACCAGGCUGGCCAUGGUCUUGCCGAUAGCCUGAGGUGUGGCUUUCGUAGCGCACAGAGCCAGAUCAGGCACUGUGCGCAGCUCUUUGAAAGCAUCCUGAUGUUGGCCAGACUCGUCCAUAUCACAGAAAAGUUUGGUCUGAAACACUUGUAGGACUGCCAUUAUAUGCAGCAUCGAUCCGGGCCUGACCGGCCGCUAUAUACGCCCUGUUGGCCAGAGACGAAGUGGUCCUGCAGGGCUUCAAGGGAUGCGCUGCAGGGGCCUUUAAUUCCAGGGCGGACGGCGGACGGCGGACACAAGUGAGCAGCUACCGCUUCCUCCAGAGUGGGGAGCUUGCUAUAGCCUUUUUCCUCAGAGCCGUCAAUGGUGGUGAGGGCUACUGAAGAGGAGGGGCUAACUCGGGCCGAAUAGGGGGCGUGCCAGGUCUCGGUCAGUUCCUCGUGAACUGCAGGCAAGAACGGCGCGUGCCGCUGGCAGGAAGGUGGUUGACAGCGUCCUGGCAGGAACCACUUGAGUAAAAGGCCAUGGUGCGGGCUCAUCUGGAGCCGACCACUUGAGACCCAGAUUCUCCACCGCCUUGGAGAGAACAUGGAUCAGCUCACGGUCUGGUUUCGGCCACGAUGGAUGUGAAGAAGGAUGUGAAGAAGGGAGGGCUUCAGGCUCCUCGCCAGAAGCGCAGCAUUCUUCUGCGUCUGAUGCCGUCAAGGACAUAGCCUCGUUGAUGGCAGUCUCUUCCUCGGAGGCGCCAAAGGAAACCAAGCUGCUCGCUGCAGAGGAGGGGCAUUGAUCCUCUUGUGCGACGCACACUGGCGCGACAAGGCGGAGCGGGGAGAGGGGGGCACGCAGGUGCAUCGCUUGCACCCGUUGAGAGAGCCGUUGCUUCAGUGAAGAAGGCGAUACGCGAGACUUGAGCCGUCAGCGAGCGCAACCACUGCGUGGGCGCUGCCCAGGCAGGCGACACUCUCGCUGUGCCUGUCUGACCCCUGCACCCGGGGAGCAAUUGGGGGUUUGGGGCCUUGCUCAAGGGCACCUCAGUCGGGGUAUUGAAGGUGGAGAGAGCGCUGUUCAUUCACUCCUCCCACCUACAAUCCCUGCCGGACCUGAGACUCAAACCUUUAGGUUACAAGUUCGACUCUCUAACCAUUAGGCCACGACUUCCCCAAUGUGAAGUGAACGUUCAAAUAGGAACCUCACUUGCUCUAAUGUCCAGUCAGUUUCUUCUUUGGGUUCAUCAUUUGUUCCAGCAGCUGAGAGAAAAUCUCAGAGGAAAUCUCAUAACAGCACGAAAUGCCACUCAUUCAGCUCUAUUUCAUUGUGUUAAAAUGCUGCAUUAAAAUGAUUUAAAUCUAUUUUAAUGUUACAGAAUGUGGACACUGGCUGAAUGAAGAUGCAAAUAGGGGUUUAUUGACAUUUCUGAGAGAAGGAAGAUAAUGGCAGGUGCAGGAGAUCGUGGAUGGUGGAGCAGAUGGGGAGUGGGCACACACCUCGUCGUAGGGAUAUGUAUCCAGGUAAUCCUGACAACACAACGCAGUGAACAAUGAGAAUGGGAAGAUGCGCUGGAGGGAAUCGGUGGAGAUAUUCACUGGAGCACAGGAACAUGAAAUGGCAGUCCACUUCGAAUAAACAAGACUGGACACUGAGCAGAUCUCCAUGGGUGAAGAGAACGAUGGAGUAUUGUAACACCUCCUGACCAAACAUCAUCUCAAUCUGCUGAGGAAUCUGCUGCUCUUGUUCAGUGAAUCUGUC